rnacentral:rRNA from 1 species
AGGGUGUAACCGCUGCAGACUUGGUGUUGGAAGCCCUUUGGGGGCAUUCAGUGCCGGAGAGAAGUUGUUAAGUCUGCUACUUGGGGAGUACGUCCGCAAGGAUGAAACUUAAAGGAAUUGGCGGGGGAGCACCGCAACGGGAGGAGCGUGCGGUUUAAUUGGAUUCAACACCGUAAAACUCACCAGGGAAGACUGUUACAUGAAGGCCGAGAUGAAGACUCUGCUAGAUUUUCAGAGAGGAGGUGCAUGGCGUCAGUGACU